rnacentral:ncRNA from 1 species
GUAAAGAUAAAAUCACAGUUCCGGUCGGUAGUCCGGACGCAGUAUAUAUACUGUAAGUAUCCUGCCUCCUUGGUUGUCCCUUCUUUAUAGUAAU